CGUGCGGGAAGAAGGCCUUCGGGUUGUAAACCGCUGUCGGGAGUUAGGAAAUGCAAGGAUGUAAAUAGCGUCUUUGCUUGACUAAGGCUCCGGAGGAAGCCACGGCUAACUCUGUGCCAGCAGCCGCGGUAAUACAGAGGCGGCAAGCGUUGUUCGGAAUUAUUGGGCGUAAAGAGCACGUAGGCGGCCGUGUAAGUCGGUUGUGAAAGCCUUCCGCUCAACGGGAGAACGGCAUCCGAUACUGCAUGGCUAGAGUGCGGGAGGGGAGAGUGGAACUUCUGGUGGAGCGGUGAAAUGCGUAGAUAUCAGAAGGAACACCGGCGGCGAAGGCGACUCUCUGGCCCGUAACUGACGCUGAGUGUGCGAAAGCUAGGGGAGCAAACGGGAUUAGAUACCCCGGUAGUCCUAGCCGUAAACGAUGGGCACUAAGUAGAGGGGUUUU
rnacentral:rRNA from 1 species